rnacentral:tRNA from 1 species
GGGUCUGUAGCUCAGGUGGAAGAGCACACCCCUGAUAAGGGUGAGGACGGUAGUUCAAGACUACCCAGACCCA